AUUGAACGCUGGCGGCAUGCCUUACACAUGCAAGUCGAACGGUAACGGGUCUUCGGAUGCUGACGAGUGGCGAACGGGUGAGUAAUACAUCGGAACGUGCCUAGUAGUGGGGGAUAACUACUCGAAAGAGUGGCUAAUACCGCAUGAGAUCUACGGAUGAAAGCAGGGGAUCGCAAGACCUUGUGCUACUAGAGCGGCCGAUGGCAGAUUAGGUAGUUGGUGGGAUAAAAGCUUACCAAGCCGACGAUCUGUAGCUGGUCUGAGAGGACGAUCAGCCACACUGGGACUGAGACACGGCCCAGACUCCUACGGGAGGCAGCAGUGGGGAAUUUUGGACAAUGGGCGCAAGCCUGAUCCAGCAAUGCCGCGUGCAGGAUGAAGGCCUUCGGGUUGUAAACUGCUUUUGUACGGAACGAAAAGCCCUGGGUUAAUACCCUGGGGUCAUGACGGUACCGUAAGAAUAAGCACCGGCUAACUACGUGCCAGCAGCCGCAGUAA
rnacentral:rRNA from 1 species